UACGGAGGGUGCAAGCGUUAUCCGGAUUCACUGGGCUUAAAGGGUGCGUAGGCGGGCAGGUAAGUCAGUGGUGAAAUCUUUGGGCUUAACCCGAAAACUGCCAUUGAUACUAUCUGUCUUGAAUCCCGUGGAGGUGAGCGGAAUAUGUCAUGUAGCGGUGAAAUGCUUAGAUAUGACAUAGAACACCAAUUGCGAAGGCAGCUCGCUACACGAAGAUUGACUCUGAGGCACGAAAGCGUGGGGAUCAAACAGG
rnacentral:rRNA from 1 species